rnacentral:other from 1 species
AUACUCCUGAAAUGUUCGAUACUCCUGAUAUUUUGAACCUACAUGAAUGACAUUGGGAGACUUAUAUCUUGAAGAUUAUGUCAGGCCGCCACAGCAGCGGAAGGCAGAAGCUUCUUUGCGGUAACCCACCUAGCAAUGGCUAGGAGUCAAAAGUCGGGAACCGGCAUUUUGGGUGUAUG